UGGGGAAUAUUGCACAAUGGGCGCAAGCCUGAUGCAGCCAUGCCGCGUGUGUGAAGAAGGCCUUCGGGUUGUAAAGCACUUUCAGCGAGGAGGAAGGUGGUGAACUUAAUACGUUCAUCAAUUGACGUUACUCGCAGAAGAAGCACCGGCUAACUCCGUGCCAGCAGCCGCGGUAAUACGGAGGGUGCAAGCGUUAAUCGGAAUUACUGGGCGUAAAGCGCACGCAGGCGGUUUGUUAAGUCAGAUGUGAAAUCCCCGGGCUCAACCUGGGAACUGCAUUUGAAACUGGCAAGCUAGAGUCUCGUAGAGGGGGGUAGAAUUCCAAGUGUAGCGGUGAAAUGCGUAGAGAUCUGGAGGAAUACCGGUGGCGAAGGCGGCCCCCUGGACGAAGACUGACGCUCAGGUACGAAAAGCGUGGGGGAGCAAACAGGAUUAGAUACCCUGGUAGUCCACGCUGUAAACGAUGUCGAUUUUGGAGGUUGUGCCCUUGAGGCGUGGCUUCCGGAGCUAACGCGUUAAAUCGACCGCCUGGGGGAGUACGGCC
rnacentral:rRNA from 1 species